CAAUGAAAAUGAAUUAAUAAAUCAAUACAACCAAACACCUAAUUACGGUUGACUUUGCUAACAUGAUGGAUUAUCCUACAUCUCAAGUUAUUUUUGCAAAAACAUCAUGUAACCAAAUUCAAGUAUAUGUUAGCUAGAAGUGGGUUACUCAUAGCCGGACUAUAUCAGGUCAAUUGUUAACCUAGAUGGUGAAAUGAUGGCUAUUGCUUGCUGGGGUUGUGCUUUUUAAAAGUUUAUUACACCCAAAUACUGCUUUCUUUAUUGAAAUAAAAUCUGGUUUCUAGGAAUAAUUCUAGGAAUUAUUGGGUCUAAGUUGCAUUAUUUAAUAACUCAUCAAGUAAAAUAAACAAGGAAUCAUGGUAGGCCUAUAUAUAGCCUUUUCAGUCAAUCACAUAUUCAAGUACAGAGAGAAUACACAAUGAUGACUCUGGGGGUAGAUUUUAAAUUUGUGUUUUAUAAAAUUAUAUAUUGCAACCGUUGAAUUUGAACACACACUAAAACAAAUUUGUUUAUGACGUGAACAAAAUAGGAAGAAAUGCAUGGACAACGUCUUCACUGACUCCUAAGAGAGAUAAAGAUAAAGAAAUGAAUGAAAUCAGGAACAUUUAGUUGAACAUGUUCAACUCUCUAAUUUUUUUAAAGAUCUUAGUCACCACAGAGCACACACAUUUUAUACAGUGAUGCCACAGUUACUUUGAAAAAUUAAUCUGAUUACUGAUUACUCCUUUAAAAAGUAACUAAGUUACUUUACAGAUUACUUGAUUUUAAAAGUAACUAAGUGUAACCAGGUCAAAAAGAGAACAUGUAAAUCAUAAAAGAAUACGUGAUGUAUCUUAUUUAAGCCCUGUGUUAUGGGUCCUGUGCAUAAAAUGUGUAUAAGGCCUAGUCCACACGGACACGGGUAUUUUUAUAACCGUGAGUUUUUUCACGCGGUUCGGCCGUUCGUCCACACGAAACCGCAGUAUCAGUGCACUGAAACCGAGCAUAUUUGAAAACCCCGGCCAGGGUGAGCUUUUUAAGAAACCCCGGUUACAGUGGUGUCGUGUAGAGAGUAAAACCGGGGGUUUUGCCUUGCGACGUCAGAGUGUGCGCCGUUAUUCACUGUGUUUGACGUCAAGAUUGUGCGCCUCUGACUGCUUUGUUGAUGAUUCUUUGCAAUUGCGGACGUAUCUUGCUAAUAAUAACUGUGCUAACAGGGCUUCAACAUGUAUACAGAUAGAUGCUCAGUUAUCUCACUAUAUUGCGGAACACGAUUUGGGUUAUAUCCCCGCCUGCUGGUGUGGCAUGCUCUUGACAGCGCUUGAUAGCGUGCUUUUGCUUUAUCGUGUGGAUGGAUAUUUAAUUUAAACCGAGCAUGUGUGGACGGGAUUUUUUUUUAGGGAAAACUCCGGUUAUAAAUAUACCCGUGUCCGUGUGGACUAAGCCUAAAUGCCUUUUUUAAUGUGUUGCUGAAAUGUUACGCUGGCCCUUUAAGAAACGGGACUGUAAUGCUGCGGGAAGUUUUUUUGUUUACUUCCUGUGUACAGUGCGGUUCACAACGCGGUUUAGAGAGUGCACGUGCAGUGGGGAAUAUAGCCAUCCAACACAAAAAACCACAAAAUAAGAAACUAUAGUGAGAUAUAGUGAAGCUAAAAGCUUUUGAGUGUUUUAUGUUAUUUGGAUGGCUGUGUAUUUUGCUGAUUGACAGCGAUUUCUGUUGAGAUACAUCUCGUGUGGUGUGUAAAUAGCACGAAAUUGAUUCUCAAAGAAGCGUAAGUGUUUACAUAUAAUCAGUAUACGAAGAGUUCUGAGUAUAUGAUUAUUGAGUUUUGUGUGUAAUUUUAUGUGGACCAGUGAUAUUGAAACAUAGUUAUUCUGUUUAAUUAAGAGGGGAGAAAGUGCUUCGUAAGCCUUCUGUGUGUUUCCUGGGGAGUGUGAAGCAUCAGAAGAAAGAACGAGUCUGUCAUAUGCUGUGAUAGUGUGUGCAUGUGUCAGAGGGGUGAUAAAAAGGCUGCUACCGUUGUCUAUGUUAGCUAGUUAAACAAAGAGAAUUCUGUCUUUUACUAAAAAGAAGGACAUACACAUUGUGAUAAGAGAAGCAAACUUUUUUGUUUAAGUUAUUUCCACAAACUUUAUUUACAAGCUUUACCUUUCCAUCUCUACAACUCCAAAGUUUGCAAAAUUAACGCUGCACUGCCUAACGUGCAGUCUGAAAUAAAAGAUCCCCGUUUAAAUUUUA